rnacentral:tRNA from 4 species
GGCGCGGUAGCUCAGCUGGUUAGAGCGGUGGAAUCAUAAUCCAUAGGUCGGGGGUUCGAGUCCCUCCCGCGCUACCA